AUUGUUUCUUACCAUUGGACGUACCAGAGGUGAUAUGUGGUUGCCUGACUAGCACCAUCCAUGUUGGCCCUGGGAAACGUAUCAUCCUCGUAGGAAUAAAUGGUCUCUACAAUGUCACAGUGCCAGUGCUGACCUGCACAACCUGUCUCAGCACCUGGACAGCAAACUUGGCAGAUCUGAUAAAGAAUGGGUACUGGCCAGCCACCGUCAACUGUGACAGCAUAUACCAGCAUGCUUGUCUCCUGGACUGUCACCUUGAUGUAGUGGAGAGGCUUGCGUACUCCAGUGACCCUGAGAGCUAACCCCACCGGCAGGUGCAAUCAAGCCGGACAGGUGGAAGGGUAGGAGGCAGACAAAACAUUCCCUGGUUCUCCAGGUUGGGGCUCACUCACCCCCCACAUAACAAAUCAUUUAUUACAGAAACCUUCACAGGCCCUAUGUUCCUCCAGGAAGUGAGUGCAACUACUCACCGUUGGAGAUGCGUUGUUAAUUUAUAGAUGUAUUGUAUUUCAGAGGAAACAGCUGAGAACAUGGAUGGUCCCCAGGUACGACAGAGAACAACUGAACUCCUGUUUCUGAGCAUCAAACAAAGGAAACAGAACCUCUACUGUCAGACAGGUUUGUUACAUUUCAUGAACAUUGAAUUGCACACACUUCAUUUCUCUUUCAUUUCAAAGCCUUGCAAUUUAACAAAUAAUUCCAUUCUCCUUUUGUUUUGAUGACUGAUGGAUGAAAGAAAAGACACCCUCUGCGCAGAAAGAUAUUGGAAGAAAAGGCCAAAUUGACAGCUGCCAUAGAGGAGUACAACACCCUUGUACCAAAUUCAGCAAUACCAUCUGCAGAUGAGAUCUUUUCUGCAGACCUUCAUGCAUGGCCUUGGGAGCUGCAUGGACAAAGUAAGUAGUAUGUUUGUGUGUCACAAUAACUAUGUUUCUGUUUUGCUAUCUGUGUUUGUUCAGUUGCGCAAACACAGACAGCACUGCCAGCACUGCCAAAGUUACAAAUCCACAUUGCAUUCUUAUGAAUUUACAGCUGACCUACUCACAAAGAAAACAGCCUUUGACCGGGUGAUGCUCCUGAGACGGCUGAAGGAGGAGGAGUUAAUUGUCCUAAAGGAAGUCAAGCAGCACUGGGAAAGCCUAAAGAGGGAAUCGGAGAAUGUGCAAGACCUUGCUUCACAUGUGGCACCUGACCUAAGCAGGCAAAGCUGGCAAUUGAAUCAGUCGGAAGCUGGGAGCAGAGGUCUCUUCUCCAUGCUUCAGAGGAGAGUCAGCAGCCUCAGAAGACACCAGGACUCUGUCAAACUGAUAUACAGCAAAGCUAUGGGCCAAGACACCUCCCUCCUAGAAAAUAACUUGGGGGUUGUCCCAUCCUGAACAG
rnacentral:lncRNA from 8 species